CUUCCAGUAGCACCUUAGAGACCAAGUUUGUUAUUGGUAUGAGCAAUAACAAACUUAGUUGGUCUCUAAGGUGCUACUGGAAG